rnacentral:rRNA from 1 species
CAGUCGCCACGGUAAAACGGAGGGUGCAAGCGUUAAUCGGAAUUACUGGGCGUAAAGCGCACGCAGGCGGUCUGACAAGUCAGAUGUGAAAUCCCCGGGCUUAACCUGGGAACUGCAUUUGAAACUGUCAGGCUGGAGUCUUGUAGAGGGGGGUGGAAUUCCAGGUGUAGCGGUGAAAUGCGUAGAGAUCUGGAGGAAUACCGGUGGCGAAGGCGGCCCCCUGGACAAAGACUGACGCUCAGGUGCGAAAGCGUGGGGAGCAAACAGGAUUAGAGACCCCAGUAGUCCCUGUCUCUUAUAA